rnacentral:snRNA from 9 species
AAACUUAUCUGGCGUAGGCUUACCGUGAUUAUACAGGCGGUUCCCCCAGGGUGAGCCUGCUCCAUUGCACUGCGGAGUGAUUGACCCUUGCGAUUAUUUAAAUUUUUUUUUCACUUCUGCUGAGCGUGACUUGUGCACACACACUUUUUUUUUGGUCAGGAGGAAAUAGUCACAUUUUCGCCCU